AAGAAACCAGACCAAAACCAAUUUUUGUACGUGCAUGUGGAUUUUCGGAUGGGGACGAAUAUUUUCCGAUGGGAGACGAUGGAAAGGCCAGUUUUUCUGACCAUGAUAUGUUGAUGUCUGGAAGGUAUCAUGUCAUAAUUUGGCACAGAAUUCCCGGCACCCUCUCUAUCCAGAUUAUUUCUUAGAAUAGUAUCAUUCGCAGUACAUCUUUUAUAUCCUUGAAUAUUAUUUCAAAACUACUGGAUGUAUUGUUCAAUGUUAAAAACAUAUAGUGAUCAGCAUUGUCAACAGGUUUACCUGAUACUGUCCAUUAAAACAAAGGAGGUUAUGUAAGCCUCACACUGUCCAUUCUGUGAACCACAAUUAGUCCGGGGGUUACGAUUUUAACAAUUUAGAAUCUUCACUAUUUAUACAGGCUUUGGUGUGAAUAAUGGCAAAUCUGGUGCAAUGGUUCUUGAGAAGAUGUUUUAAGACACACGCCCUAAUUUUACUGUUUCGCAGUCACAUGUAUCUCUCUUUUAAAAAGGGGUGUGCUCUUUAUUUGAACAAUUUUGAAUUCCCUUCCCAUAAGAAUGUUUUGUAUCAAAAUUUGGUUUAAUUUGGUCCAGUGGAUCUAGAGAAGAAGUUAAAUAUGUAUAAAGUCAACAGAAAGGCGGUCAGAGGGACGGACAACAGGUGACCAAAAAUGCUCACUUAAAACUGCGGUUCAGGUGAGUUAAAAAAAACAUAACCUCCGUUUCUAUUAAUCUGGGAGGUACAUGUAAAAGAAGUGAGACUGCCGUGUGAUUCCGACGAUGGUGUAUCUUAUUUCGAGUAUGCAUUACUAUCUGAUGCAAUGUCCUGAGAUUAUUAAUCAUUCGCAAUAGGGCUGAAGAUAAAGAUCCCGUUGUAUUUGGUGAACCAAUCCUGAAAGAAGAAGAAGACUAUAGCGCAAGUUUGCCUUUAGUUAGAUUUCUGCUGCAGCGAAACCUUAUUAUCAUUCCUAAAAGCGUUAAUCCACAACGAAUCAAAGAUAAUAUUGACAUUUUGAGUUAUCUGACGAGGAAAUGAAAGCCAUCUGGUCAAUGGAUAGCGGAGAGCGGUUUUACGCUACAACGAUGUACAAUAUUGAAGGAACCCACAAGUAUUACAUUUCACGACGAAUAUAAGACUAGUGUAGAUCAAUGCAUACACUGCAGAGAG